AGCAAGAUAAGCUAAAGAAGCUCUUGGGCCCAUGCCCCAAAAAUGUAGGUUGAACCCCUGCUUUUGCUA
rnacentral:tRNA from 1 species